UGCUAGAAGCUUCGGCUAGG
rnacentral:piRNA from 1 species